CCUACGGGAGGCAGCAGUGGGGAAUUUUGGACAAUGGGCGAAAGCCUGAUCCAGCAAUGCCGCGUGAGUGAAGAAGGCCUUCGGGUUGUAAAGCUCUUUUGUCAGGGAAGAAACGGUGAAAGCUAAUAUCUUUUGCUAAUGACGGUACCUGAAGAAUAAGCACCGGCUAACUACGUGCCAGCAGCCGCGGUAAUACGUAGGGUGCAAGCGUUAAUCGGAAUUACUGGGCGUAAAGCGUGCGCAGGCGGUUUUGUAAGUCUGAUGUGAAAUCCCCGGGCUCAACCUGGGAAUUGCAUUGGAGACUGCAAGGCUAGAAUCUGGCAGAGGGGGGUAGAAUUCCACGUGUAGCAGUGAAAUGCGUAGAUAUGUGGAGGAACACCGAUGGCGAAGGCAGCCCCCUGGGUCAAGAUUGACGCUCAUGCACGAAAGCGUGGGGAGCAAACAGGAUUAGAUACCCUGGUAGUCCACGCCCUAAACGAUGUCUACUAGUUGUCGGGUCUUAAUUGACUUGGUAACGCAGCUAACGCGUGAAGUAGACCGCCUGGGGAGUACGGUCGCAAGNUUAAAACGUCAAAGGAUUGACGG
rnacentral:rRNA from 1 species